rnacentral:rRNA from 1 species
GACGAACGCUGGCGGCGUGCUUAACACAUGCAAGUCGAACGGAAAGGCCCCCAUCUUGGUGGGGGUGCUCGAGUGGCGAACGGGUGAGUAACACGUGGGUGAUCUGCCCUGUACUUCGGGAUAAGCUUGGGAAACUGGGUCUAAUACCGGAUAGGACCAUGGUUUAGUGUCUCAUGGUGGAAAGCUUAUUGUUUUGGUGCAGGAUGAGCUCGCGGCCUAUCAGCUUGUUGGUUGGGUAAUGGCCUACAAAGGCGUCGACGGGUAGCCGGCCUGAGAGGGUGGAAGGAUAAUGUGGGAGCGAGAUACGGUCAAGACGUCCACGGGAGGCAGCAGUGGGGACUAUUGCACGAUGGGCGCAAGCAUGAUGCAGCGACGUGGCGUGGGGAUGACGGCCUUCGGGUUGUAAACUCCUUUCGGUAGGGACGAAGCCACGCUUUUGGGGUGUGGUGAAGGUACCUUUGUCAAGAAGCACCGGCUAACUACGUG